rnacentral:rRNA from 1 species
AUACAGAGGGUGCGAGCGUUAAUCGGAAUUACUGGGCGUAAAGCGCGCGUAGGCGGCUACUUAAGUCAGAUGUGAAAUCCCCGGGCUCAACCUGGGAACUGCAUCUGAUACUGGGUAGCUAGAGUUUAGGAGAGGGAAGUAGAAUUUCAGGUGUAGCGGUGAAAUGCAUAGAGAUCUGAAGGAAUACCAGUGGCGAAGGCGGCCUCCUGGCCUAAACCUGACGCUGAGGUGCGAAAGCGUGGGUAGCAAACGGGAUUAGAUACCCGGGUAGUCC